rnacentral:rRNA from 1 species
CUACGGGUGGCUCCAGUGAGGAAUAUUGCGCAAUGGGGGCAACCCUGACGCAGCGACGCCGCGUGAGUGAGGAGGGCCUUCGGGUCGUAAAGCUCUGUCAAGAGGAAAGAAGUGCAUAGUGGUUAAUACCUGCUAUGUUUGACGGUACCUCUAAAGGAAGCACCGGCUAACUCCGUGCCAGCAGCCGCGGUAAUACGGAGGGUGCAAGCGUUGUUCGGAAUCACUGGGCGUAAAGGGCGCGCAGGCGGCCCGGUAAGUCAGAUGUGAAAGCCCACGGCUUAACCGUGGAAGUGCAUUUGAAACUGUCAGGCUUGAGUACCAGAGGGGAAAGUGGAAUUCCCGGUGUAGAGGUGAAAUUCGUAGAUAUCGGGAGGAAUACCGGUGGCGAAGGCGACUUUCUGGCUGAGUACUGACGCUGAGGCGCGAAAGCGUGGGGAGCAAACAGGAUUAGAUACCCGCGUAGUC